CAAAUCACGAGCAGACAAAGGCAUCCAGAACUAUCAUAUUUAUUAUAAAGCUACACCUUGAAGAACAAACCUGACCAUAUACUGAAGCCUGUAAUGGUACAUGCCAGAAAUGUACUGUACUAUACAGAAAAGUGCAUCGUCACAACAGAUUAACAAAACAUCAUCUUUUCUUCUAGGACUGUAAAAGCAUCUCUUUUCUCCUCACCUCAGAGAGAACCAGUACAGAGCAAGGGACAGGAUGGCAGGGGCAGUGUGGGUAGGGCACAGUGGGAAGGUUAGGUCAGACGGCAGGGAGUCACAGCAGGGUGAGAAAGGCACACUUACUCAAUGGACUCCUGACUGUUGGGUUUCAGAUGUUAGAUCACAGUUCCUUCAGCAUGUAGACGUCAGAGACUGAGCUAUCCAAAAUGCUAAGACCACUACCACCAACCCAGUUUCUUAGUUAAACGAUAGAGCCAC
rnacentral:lncRNA from 1 species